rnacentral:lncRNA from 1 species
CUGAUUCCUUCUGUCAGGGAGGUGAACAACAAUCUAUAUACAGCACAGCAUACAGAGUAUCUGCAUCAAAGAAAUAGUGCUUCAUAUGAAACACGAAAGACAAAAAGGAAGUUAUUAGCUUUAACGAGAGGAACUCCAAGUUCAUUCCCCACAAAAAACAUUCAGCUUCCUGCUCUUUUUGGGUUUCCACUGCUUUCAGUUGGAAAACCAAGUCAUCUUGAAGAUUCCAGGACACAGAAACCCAUUUCCUUAUCAAGCCAAACAUCUUCAGGUGUGCCACAGCAUGGAGUAGUUGAUGGUACCUAUCAUUAAUCCACUACUUUGCUCAGCAGAAAGCACAGGUUAACAGAACACCUGGGAACCUUAACCUGCUGAGUUUGCCCAUAAUUACUGCUUCAUUGUGUUUCUGUUUGUUUCACUAUCUCAAAAUGGAAAUUGCUAGAAUCAAACAUUCUAAGUAUCCUCACACAGUUAAUUUACUUUAUAGUCUGUAAGUUGUCAUUAAGAUACUAAAGCUUAAACUAAGUACUCACAAAUUAAAAUCUACAUGCAAUGCUUUAACUAUGCAGUUUUUAAGAAGAUUGUGUUGGAAUCAAUAACAUUUAGGUGCUACUGGUCUUUAUUCUCCUGCACAGAUAAGUGGGAUGUUUAACUGAUGUGAUGGACUGUUCACAAAACUGAACUGCCUUUUAAAAACAGGAAGUACAGAAAACAUUCCUACAUCAUUUGUCUCUUGUUAACCAACUAUCUCCUGCUUGACAUUUAAUCUAACAGCACUGGAGCUACUGUACUGACUUCAAAAUAUGUCCCUAAAACUAGAAAUGCCCUUCAUAUUACAUUCUAUUAAAAAAGUAACAGUUCAAACAUGCUAAAUUCUGGUAAUAACAUGGUAAUAACAGCAAGCAUUUGAAGCAUUUAAUACCAGACCAUCACAUUAGUGUUUACAGAAGUAGUUGGAAGAAAUUUAGGUUAGUCUUUUUAAUAAAUAUGUAGAUUCUGGCCA